CAGUAGCCACGGUAAUACGGAGGGAGUUAGCGUUGCUCGGAAUCACUGGGCGUAAAGGGUGCGUAGGCGGGUCUUUAAGUCAGGGGUGAAAUCCUGGAGCUCAACUCCAGAACUGCCUUUGAUACUGAAGAUCUUGAGUUCGGGAGAGGUGAGUGGAACUGCGGGUGUAGAGGUGAAAUUCGUAGAUAUUCGCAAGAACACCAGUGGCGAAGGCGGCUCACUGGCCCGAUACUGACGCUGAGGCACGAAAGCGUGGAGAGCAAACAGGAUUAGAUACCCCCGUAGUCCCUGUCUCUUAUAC
rnacentral:rRNA from 1 species